rnacentral:rRNA from 1 species
UGUAGCAGUGAAAUGCGUAGAGAUAUGGAAGAACAUCGAUGGCGAAGGCAACCUCCUGGGCUAGCACUGACGCUCAUGCACGAAAGCGUGGGGAGCAAACAGGAUUAGAUACCCCUGGUAGUCCACGCCCUAAACUAUGUCAACUAGUUGUCGGGUCUUAUUAGACUUGGUAACGUAGCUAACGCGUGAAGUUGACCGCCUGGGGAGUACGGUCGCAAGAUUAAAACUCAAAGGAUUGACGGGGACCCGCACAAGCGGUGGAUUAUGUGGAUUAAUUCGAUGCAACGCGAAAAACCUUACCUACCCUUGACAUGUCAGAAAAUUUUCAGAGAUGAAUUUUGUGCCCGAAAGGGAAUCUGAACACAGGUGCUGCAUGGCUGUCGUCAGCUCGUGUCGUGAGAUGUUGGGUUAAGU